rnacentral:lncRNA from 1 species
AAAUUUGAAAUGCUGAAAAAGGAUGACAGCCAUAGAAGGUGAAUGAAGCGCUAAGUCUGAAAAUGUUGCAAGGCUUGCUUAGUCCCGGAUCUGAUGAUACAUUCAAAAGUUUAAAUUUUCCAAAGGUGAGAAAUAUAGAGGGACCAUUUGUCUUAAGACUCAUCUCAUGGCGUAUGACAAGAAAACGGUUGUGUGUGCAUAUGAUGAAAAGUUGCUAAUUCAUUUCUUC